rnacentral:lncRNA from 1 species
GUCAAGAUGAUGCUGAAGCAGCUGCGUGGCUUAUUCCGAAUCCUAAUUUUGGAUCAAAACUCAAUGAAACUCAAGAUAUCAAAACUAGAGAGAUGUUUUUCUCUGAUAUGGAUCCGUUUCUCGAUUUUGAUUACUCAAACAACUUCCAGAACAAUAACUGCAGCAACGCGAUGAACGAUAGCGUUGUUCCUGUUCAAACUAAACCUACUCCGGCGCCGAUGAUGAAUCACAACUCAGAAGGUUGCUUUGACAUUGAUUUUUGCAGAUCGAAGCUAUCUUCCUUUAACUAUCCAUCACAUUCGAUUAGCCAUAGCGUAAGUAUUUAGUAAGUUAAUAAUUUGAUUAAGUAUUAGAAGUAGUUAAUUAAUAAUGAUUUGAUUUGUUAUUAGCAGGUUUCGUCAUCUUCACUUGACGUUGGAGUGGUGCCAGACGGAAACACAGUGUCAGAGAUAUCAUACAAUUUCGGAUCGGAAUCGAUGGUUUCAGGGGGUGUGAAUAGUAGUAACCAAGGGGUGCAAGGAGCAACACAAUUAUGUGGAAUGGAUCGUGAAGCGAGGGUUAUGAGGUACAGAGAGAAAAGGAAGAACCGAAAAUUCGAGAAGACUAUUCGUUACGCUUCACGAAAAGCUUAUGCAGAAACCCGGCCUAGAAUUAAAGGCCGGUUCGCUAAACGAACCGAAAUUGACUCGGAUGUGGACCGUCUCUAUAACCCUGCUGAUC